rnacentral:rRNA from 1 species
AACGAACGCUGGCGGCAGGCUUAACACAUGCAAGUCGAGCGGAGCGAGGGUGCUUGCACCUUAGCUUAGCGGCGGACGGGUGAGUAAUGCUUAGGAAUCUGCCUAUUAGUGGGGGAUAACGUAGGGAAACUUACGCUAAUACCGCAUACGACCCGAGGGUGAAAGCAGGGGACCGCAAGGCCUUGCGCGAUUGGAUGAGCCGAUGUCCGAUUAGCUAGUUGGCGGGGUAAAAGCCCACCAAGGCGACGAUCGGUAGCUGGUCUGAGAGGAUGAUCAGCCACACUGGAACUGAGACACGGUCCAGACUCCUACGGGAGGCAGCAGUGGGGAAUAUUGGACAAUGGGCGCAAGCCUGAUCCAGCCAUGCCGCGUGUGUGAAGAAGGCCUUCGGGUUGUAAAGCACUUUUGUCCGGGAAGAAAAGCUCCGGGUUAAUACCCUGGGGUCCUGACGGUACCGGAAGAAUAAGCACCGGCUAACUUCGUGCCAGCAGCCGCCGUAAGAC